AUCUUUGCAUGGAUGAUGAUACGUUAAGUUCUAUGAAAAAUUUAUCCGUCUUGCUAAAA
rnacentral:sRNA from 1 species